CUCAGGGCAGGGUGCAAUUCCCGACCGGCGGUAAAGUCCGCGACCUGCGCAAGCAGCUGAAUCGGUGCAACUCCGAUACCGACAGUAAAGUCUGGAUGAAAGAGAA
rnacentral:ncRNA from 1 species